GUGUCAGCCGCCGCGGUAAUACGUAGGGGGCAAGCGUUGUCCGGAAUCAUUGGGCGUAAAGCGCGUGUAGGCGGUUACGUAAGUCUGCUGUGAAAGUCGGAGGCUCAACCUUCGAAAGCCGGUGGAUACUGCGUGACUAGAGUACGGAAGAGGAGAGUGGAAUUCCUGGUGUAGCGGUGAAAUGCGCAGAUAUCAGGAGGAACACCAACGGCGAAGGCAGCUCUCUGGGACGUUACUGACGCUGAGACGCGAAAGCGUGGGGAGCAAACAGGAUUAGAAACCCUGGUAGUCC
rnacentral:rRNA from 1 species